rnacentral:misc_RNA from 1 species
UCUCCGUUGGUGAACCAGCGGAGGGAUCAUUAUAGAGUUCUAUAACUCCCAAACCCAUGUGAACAUACCUUACGUUGCCUCGGCAGGUCGUGCCUACCCCGUAGCGUCCUACCCUGUAGGACCUACCCGGUAGACGCGGGUAAGCCUGCCGGCGGCCCACGAAACUCUGUUUAGUAUUGAAUUCUGAACCUAUAACUAAAUAAGUUAAAACUUUCAACAACGGAUCUCUUGGUUCUG